rnacentral:rRNA from 1 species
UCGGGGUGCCCAGGCGCGAAAACUUUACAAUGCCGGCAACGGCGAUAAGGGGACCUCGAGUGCCAGGUUACAAAUCUGGCUGUCGUGAUGCCUAAAAAGCAUUGCAUAGCAAGGGCCGGGCAAGACCGGUGCCAGCCGCCGCGGUAACACCGGCGGCUCGAGUGGUAACCGUUAUUAUUGGGUCUAAAGGGUCUGUAGCCGGCCGGAUAAGUCUCUUGGGAAAUCCAGCAGCUCAACUGUUGGGCUUUCAGGAGAUACUGUCUGGCUCGAGGCCGGGAGAGGUGAGAGGUACUUCAGGGGUAGGGGUGAAAUCUUGUAAUCCUUGAAGGACCACCAGUGGCGAAGGCGUCUCACCAGAACGGACCUGACGGCAAGGGACGAAAGCUAGGGGCACGAACCGGAUUAGAUACCCGGGUAGUCCCAGCCGUAAACGAUGCUCGCUAGGUGUCAGACAUGGCGCGACCGUGUCUGGUGCCGCAGGGAAGCCGUGAAGCGAGCCACCUGGGAAGUACGGCCGCAAGGCUGAAACUUAAAGGAAUUGGCGGGGGAGCAC